GACUCCAUGAAGUCGGAAUCGCUAGUAAUCGCAAAUCAGAAUGUUGCGGUGAAUACGUUCCCGGGCCUUGUACACACCGCCCGUCACACCAUGGGAGUGGGUUGUACCAGAAGUAGAUAGCUUAACCUUCGGGAGGGCGUUUACCACGGUAUGAUUCAUGACUGGGGUGAAGUCGUAACAAGGUAACCGUAGGGGAACCUGCGGUUGGAUCACCUCCUUA
rnacentral:ncRNA from 1 species